GAGCAGUCUGUAUAAAACAGCCUCAGCUCUCUCACUCAGAGCAGUGCCAGACACAGAGACAGAGGCACACGUUCUCUCUCUCUCUUUUGCUUUGACACACGCACACACAUGCUUAUGCACACAGACAGCAACUUUGCUCAACUGGACUGACACAACACACACAUCGGGAUAGACACUCCCCUCGCAACAGUGGAGAAGACGAUAAGGAGUGAUAAGGAAAAAAGAAAUUCAGACAGAGAGGAGGCUCCUAGUGAGUAGCCCAUUGAUUUUCAUAUUUUUCUUAUUGUCAUAUCUGGACUUUUCUUCAGCACUGUGUGACCGGGACUCGCCAGGCGCUGAGAGGGAGAAGGAGAGUGGGAAGGAGGGGACUGGGAGGAAAAAAAGGGAAGGUGACAACGGAGAUGUGGAGCUUGUGCAACAUCAUGAUACCUCUCCAUCAAUCUGUCCCUCUGUCUGUGGAAUCUAAUGCUGUUAAUUAGCAGGGUUCGCGUGGAAUGAGAGGAAUGCCAGUGCGAGGAGCUAAAGUGGGGUUUGCUUCAGACUCUUAAGCUUUCCUGUGUGUAUGUGUGUCUGUGGCAUGUCCUCUCUGAAAUUUUGCAUUUGUGUGCCGGGUAUAAUGUGGUGUUGGGUAGUACUGAUGUUGAACAGACUCAGUGCUGAGGCUGUGAUUAAUACAAACCCAUUGAUAUGCAGAAAGAACGGGACAGAACGCCGCUCUUGUUCAAGUGAUAUGAGUGAUGUUGUGGGAGAAAGAGGACAGUCAUGCUCCUUCUCCUCUGUCCAACUGUGUCUGUAUCCAUCUGUUCCUCUCUGUCCUACUGACUUCCUGUCUCUGUUUCUUUCACCCUCCCUUGUGACAUCCCUGUCCACUGGUGUUGGUGCUACCGCUGCUCUCUUCUCCCAUUCUGCCUUUGACUUGACAUAAUUCCUCUCUGCUCUCGUCUUUUCGUGAACUUUCUCCACGUCUGUUUAUCCACGUCCCCUAAGGUCAUUUUGUUAUCUUUUCAUCCGUCUCAUAUUGCUUUCCAUCUCGUUUUCUCCCUCAUGCUGGUACGUGCUUGUAUACACUGUAUAGAUACCUCGGUUGUGUAGCAGAAGAGAAUCGCAGAGGAAUUGUGAUGAGGGAGAGAGGGGAGGGGAGAGAGAGAGACAAGAAGUGAGAGAAAUGAACGAGCAAGUGGAAGGAUUGGGAGGGGGGUUUUUGGGAAGCAUUGAAAAAGGCUGACACUGGCUCGGACAAUUAGCCUGAGGAGUCCGUCCUGGGGUGCUAUUCUGAAAGGAGCUUUGGCCCCUGGGCCCUGGGCGCUGGGUCAUGGGAUGCCUUGACCCCUCUAGUCGACAGCUAGGCAUGGGAGCCAUUAUCACAGCCUGAUUGAUUAGCACUAAGCGGAAAUCCCUUUUCUCUUCUCUCCUCAGGAGAAAGAGACAGGAGCUUUUUUGUCUUUUUGCUGCUGGUUUAGUGUCUGCCUGCCUGAGUGUGGAGAGCUCCAGCAUUUUUCCAGUUGUCAGUUAUGGGGGUCUGGUCUCUAUAUAUCUUCUCUCUCUCUCUGGGCUCGUCUUUUACCCUCUAACUUUCUUUCUUCUAGGCAACAUGUGUGUGUGUGUGGUUGGGUGGGUGGGUGUGGGUAUGUCUCAGCAUGUUUGGUGAAGUCAGAACAAUAUAUAUACAACUAACAAGACAGGGACGUGACCCUCGUAGAUAGAAUAAUUGUUGGGGGACCUCCUUGUACCCACACGUUUGAUCUGUUUGUGUUUUUCACAAAGCUCCAGAUCAGUGUUUGUAACCUCUGCGAAGUGUGCACCUGCAGUAGUUGUUAGUGGUGCGUUUUAUCGGCUGUCAGGAAGAGAAAAGGCGCUUUAGAGAAAUCUUGGUUAAAAAGGAGAAUGCAAUGAAAGAAAGGGGAGUGAGAGAAGAACACACUGAAUCAUUUUUAUCUUCAGUGUUUCCUUUCUAUUGCAUCUGUCAUUUACCUGUUCUGAUAUGACUAUUUCCAUCCCUAGCAAACGUGCUCUUCCUCAUAUCCCCCCCUCCCAUACUGGGAGUUUAGCAGGGUGUUUAGCCCGGCUCAUGGCUGAUCAAAGCAGUGUGUGUCAGACUGGGCUUAGCCCAGGCGCUGCUAAUGGAGCUCCGUUUUCAUGCCUAGUUGGUAGUGGAGCGGGAGGGAGAGAUGGAAGGUUGAGGGAAGAAGCAGAGGAGGGGGUGCAAAUAGAAAGGCUGACAGAAAGAGUUCAAUGGAGGGAAAGACAGCUAGACAGAUGGAGAAAGGGCUACAAACAGGACCAACACAGGCAGGCAGAUGAGGGCAGACAGGCAGGGAAAGCAGUAGACAGUAAUGAUUUACAAGCAAAAUUGGCAAAAGAUGAAAAGGAAACCGGAGCGAAAAAAUACAGAUAGACUGGGAGGUGGAACAAUGCUCGCUGUCAAAAGCACACAAGGCACUAAGUCCUCAACAUGCAUAUAAAGAAUCAGGAGGUCAGGCUGUGAGCAAAGAGGGAGAAAUUAAACACCUCUCCAACCUUUUUGAUGGAUGGACCUGGCAUUAGCAGAGCAUACAGUUAAGGUGAGCAAUAGAUAGAUCAUGCAUAUGGUUUAGUUCUAGACUGGAAGCAGCAUAAGGCGGGAAGAGGUCUGUGUGUAUUUGUGCUCAUGUGUGUGUCAGACUUUAAAAAGCUGUCUAGAUCUCUGUGAUGACUUGUGACAUUUAGGCCAUUUUUUUAAAACUCAAAGAUCAGGAAUCAUUUACUUGAAAAGAAAAAUAAAGUUACUGCCUAGCCUUCUUCGCAUUACCUUCCCAUUUUUCCCUCAAACUUCCCUGGAUUGUCCUCUGAAAUUUAUUUACUUUUGCCUUUUUAACCCUCCUUCUCCGUUGCUAAUUCCUCAUCUCAAUCCUCUCUUGUUGUCUCCUAAGCCCACUUACCUCCUUUACACUUCUUUUUUUUUGACUCUUGCCUGUCCUCUCCCAUCGCCAAUUUACAAUAGUGGUGUUUAUACUUCAGACUGAUAAAAGGUAAGGUAAAACCAGGAUAAUAUUUCCCUUUACAUACUUACUGCCUGAGCAAACAGCCUCCGACAGAUGUCCGAGCUCGGGCCUGAUCAGAGGAGGGCUUGAGGGGGGUGGAUCAUGAAUCUUACUGCUGUAAUGUACACAAAGGCUGAAAAAUUGGAAGCUGGUGUGGAGAGGGGUAGAGAGAGCGUUUUGGAGGCACAGAUGUAGAAAAAGACAGUGACUUUUCUCGCUCUUAAACAGAAACAUGCUUGGAGGGAAAGAGAGGGUGAGCUCUGUAAUGCUUCAUUAUUUAAAUACAAUCAAAGAAAAGUGUUAUUUUUAGUUUGAGAAAAUUAAUUAUUAGUGCUAUACUACUUCUACUUUAAUUACAGAUAUAAUCUAUAUCUUUGAUUUACUUGUUAUAAAUACUCUAAUCCCGGUAGAUUAAGACCUGAAUGCAGUUAGAUUUACGUGAGGUUUGUAAGGAUUGGGAGUUGAGUAUGAGAUAGAGAGAAGGAAGUAAGAAGAAGACAGUUAUAAGAUUGACAAGAAGCUUGUUAAUUGUGUUUGCGUGUGCUUGUACACGUCAGAUAACAAACGCAGAGAGAGCUUUUUACACAGCAAACCUCUGAACAGGAGCAGCGACAUUAGAAAGCCAGCGCUCACAGCUCUGCUCCCACGCUCUCUCCUUCUUCACCAACUCCCUUUCUCUCCUUAGUCAGAUAUGCCACUUGCUGACUGCUUUUAUCUAAAUGCACCUGAGGGUGUGAAAACAUGACAAGAUUUUGUUAAGAUUUGGCCCCAAUUAAGCUGCCUCACAUGCAUUUCAGAGAUGUGCACUUUACCACAGUUUCCUCUCUGCUGCCUGGGCAGAAGUUCUGGCUUAGGGGCCACGGAGUGUGUAAUUAUUUCUAGAAUCCAGAAGAGCUCUUGUGAUUUCUUUGCACAUUACAUGGAGAGAAUAAGCAGAAAUUAAACCACUCUUCACUGCUGUAAUGCUGUGCAUGUCUUGAACCUAUGGGUCAGGGCUUGAUUUGAAGUUCAGUGAAAAAUACUCUUAACUCUCCGUGGCUGAGACAAUCAGUCUUGUGUGAGGAGAUACUUCAUUGUUCGUGUUUUGUAUUUGUUUGUGUGGUAUUCAGAGAGGGGGAAUGAGGUAUUGCUCACAAAGAAUUAAUUCCCACAGGCACAACUCUCAUAAUGUGGCAAAAUCCCAUUGAAUCAGAAAAUUGUUCAGACUGCUCCCCUGCUUCAUCCUGCAAAUGUAUGAAAGGAAAGAGGGUAGCUGGAAAUUCUGAGUCAGUACGAGCAUCUUUAGUCUGGUUCCCUUGUGCACCAUCUCUCUCUCUCUCUCUCUCUCUCUCUCUCUCCCUCUCUCUCUCUCUCUCUCUCUCUCUCUGUCUCUCUCUCUCUCUCUCUCUCUCUCUCUCUCUCUCUCUCUCUCUCUCUCUCUUCUCAGUACAUGUAAUUUGGCAGGUGUUCAGUGAAUAUUGGUAGUGCCUGUCUGACAAUCUGACAAAUGCUCAAUUUCCACCUGUGCACAUAACAAAUGCACAUAACCUUCACGGCUCUUUCCAAAGAUAAACUUUUUAAAAUAGUCAAGUGACAAAGUUUUGUCAAAACAAAUGAGAGCACUUUUAGUUUUAUAUCGGAUUUAGAGUUUCAAAUUGUGUGGGCCCAGCACAUGUGUGCUAUCCUUAAUCCAACAUAGAGAGAAUCCUGCUGUCUGAAAUGGUCUGCCCAGAUAAUAAUAAUAAUAAUAAUAAUAAUAAUAAUAAUAAUAAUAAUAAUAAUAAUAAUAAUAAUAAUGAUAAGAAUAAGAAUAACAACAAUAAUAAUAAUAAUGAUGAUGAUUGUUGUUAAUAAUAUUAUUGUUGUUAUUUAAAAUAAUAAUAUUAAUAGUUUCAAUAAUAAUGAUUCAUUGUUUACAUUAAGUUGUUACAAUAGACAAAAAUAACAAUUAAAAUAAUAAUGAAUGUAUGCUUAUUAUUAUUGUUUAUAUUGAAUUUUUAUUAUUGUUUUAAAAUUGUUAUUGUUAUUUGUAUCUAUAUGUGUUUCAGGUGCUUGUAACUUGCAAGCAGCAAGGACCUAACAAAAACUUGGUCUGAAAAGCGAUAUAUAUAAUAUAACAAAAAAACUGUAUAUUUCUCUAAAUAAUGAAAACUAUGAUUACAGUCAGUCAGGUAAUUCAGAUUUAAGUACCAUUACCAAGGUUGAACAUACUCUCUUUCUGUUUUUGCCUCCUCUGCAUUUUCAUCCUAAAUCAGCUCUUCAUCCAGCCCCUGUAGCAUUUGUGCAACUGAAGCAAUGCAAGAGUUUGACUCCUCUAACUUUCUGAUCAAAGCAAAUCAGGGAUGAAAAGAGAAAAUUUGAUCAACCCUUUUAUGACGAUGCACCACUCAUACACCCAAUACUGAAACUAGCCCCGCUUUGUACACGUACGUGCACACACAUACCAAAGGAAAUACAAACCACUUGAUAAAAGACGCACACUUUUAUCCUUGUAUUCCUGAAACACACAGGCACAAGCCUAAUUUUCCAUUCUGACACAAAGUGCUUGCAGUCAUUUAGAAAUCUCUUGAAAACACCUACACUGCAUGCUAAAGUGCAUGUUGAGGGAAGUAAAGUAAAUGUACCCUCAGGCUACAGUACAAGAUAAAAUACAGUACUAUUUAUACAGUACUGGUCUAAAUGAUGAAAACUGAGAGGAAACAGUUUUCCAUUUGUUGUUCUCAUUGUUGUUGUAUUUGUUGUAUCAGCACAUUUAUGAUGGAUAUGCUGUUCAGGUGUUGUUUUGUUUACUUGGCAAUAACCUCCAAAUAUGAGAACUUAAAAGUUUGGUGUAUAUUUUUUUAAUAAAUCAUGUCACACUCUGGUCAGAAUUCUAUGGAUACUCCAUAAAACAAUACAAGUACUGCUUAUCCCUACUGACACUUAUCAAGACUGUUAUCUAAGCUUAUAUAAUAACUACAGGGUUUUAUAUGAGAGCUGUGGAUUAAACCUGCAUAAGAGCUGGGCUGAUCCCCUCUGCAGCAUUUGCAUUUUGGCCGCCAGGACAAACUACACGCCUUAUCAUCUGAGGUGCCUCAAGGGUCAGUGCUUGGUACUUUCCUCUUCUCGACAUACACCACCUCACUUAGUGCAAUUAUCCACUCACGGUUUCUCAUAUCACUGCUCUGCAGAUAAACCUGGGUGUCGUGAUUGAUGACCUAUGACCCCCCCCGACUUAUGUGGCCUCAAAUGUGAGGUCAUGUUGAUUUAGAGGCUCAAAGUGUGCCUGGCAGAGUAUGCAACACACCCCCUGGUACAUGCUAUAGUAAUGUUCUGCAUUGACUACUGCAGCUUCUUCACGGCAGGCCUUCUUGCAAGCCAAUUAAAACCUUUGCAGAUAAUUUAGAAUUUAGCAAGUUGUUCACAAACCCCAAACGUGAUGCUACUUAGUUGUUCAUUCAUUUCUAUUUGCCUCAAGUUGCCACUAGCAUCAAAUUUAAAACCUUCCUGCACACCCAGAACUUCUUCAGGGCUACAUUUGCAGAGUUUAACUUGCCAAUGAAAGGCACCUGGUACUCUCAUACCAACAGGGCCCUAAGUCUCUGGCCAGACUCUCCUCCUCUGUUGUCCCUUGGUGGUGGAAUGGGUUACCUAGGUUACCAAACUCUGUUUGAACCACAGAAUCCCUUUCCCUGUCAAUACAAAGCUAAAGACCCAGCUCUAUUGGGAACAUCUAUGCUCCUAAGCUAGACUCUUUUCCUCUGUAGUCCCCGGCAAUGGAAUGAGCUGCUAGGUUGCAUUCAAGCCUCAGAGUCCAAAAGUUGAAGACCGAGCUCUUUGCAAACUGCUUUGUGUUUUGCAGUUUGGUGUGUAGAGAGAUGAUGUUGAUAGUAAAGGGAUUGAUGAUGAUCAUGAUCAUGAUGACGAUAUUGAGGUUCCAUAAAGAUAGCAAUGCUGCAGCGACAGCACACAGCCCUACUUCUUUACAGCCUGUUUAUUGUCUUUAGCACUGAACAUCAGAAACUGUGUCCAGUUCAACUUGAGGCAGUUAGUGGUGCUUGUUUAUGUCAUUUCCCUCAGAUCUUUGCAUGUGUUGUGCUUUUUUCCAGAUGAAUUAACUUGUAGCCGUAACACAAACAGUGGUGUAAGCCUUAGCAGUCAUGUACACUGCAUUGCUUCAUAUUUAUAGAAUAUGACUAAUUGGAAAGAGACUGUUCUUUUGAAAAGUUCAUGUUCAAUUAUAAGUAUUUAUUCUAUUUCAUCUCAGCGCACUUUCAGCUUAUUUAUCAUAGCUCUUAUUUAUGGUUGUUAUCAGUUGUUUUACGCUGAAUUACUGAGUGGUGGCUGCGUGAAAUACAACUUUGAUUUCAUGUGAAGCAUAAAAAUGACAAAUAAAGGGAUCAAAAUCAGAAAGCUGAACUUGUUUUCUGUUGGGUUGCUACAUUUAGAUGCACCCACCUUUAUACAUAGUGUAACACACCAAGAUGUACCACAGUGAGCACAAACUCUCUGUCUGCUGUGAGACCACAACAUGGUUGUCUGAUGCCAGCAAAUUUGGCAUCUCAAGGCUACAGAUGCCAUUUAUGUUCGGAUGAAACAGCUAAAUCAAAACAACAUAAAAACAAGACAAAAUUGCACUUAAUACCAAUUGCAGUACCAUUGGAUAUGAUUCUACCUGUCGAUUUUGAUCAAAGUUUGUGAUCUAAUGUGAAGCCUAUGGUAAAAUAACCAUGUCGAGAAUAUUUUUCUACAAAUUCAUCGGUAGGAUGUGACAAACUUAUCAGUCUCUGUGCAAAAGUGGCAUCUUCUCCUAGUUAAGAAUCUUUUUUCCUUUUCAUCCUGAUCUAAAAUGAAUCAUGGCACCACUGGUCUAGAAGAGAGCCAUUAUGACACUGAUGCAUGCAAAUGCCUGAAGGGAAGAUGGGAGUUUCAGUAUCAGCAACAGAAGGGACUAGGAAAAGGUGUGAUGAAAUGUGACAUUCUUAUUAUGAAAUAAUCAGUUUUCAAUUGACAUGCCGUGAAACUUUUCCUGUUUCUUGCAUUUAAGGGUAAAGUCGGGGGAAUAAGGAACUUAAUGAAGAAUUCAGAUUUGGGCAAUGUGGCCGGUAGCUGAUAAGAAAUUGGACCUCUGUAAAGAGAUGAAUGAUAUGGAUGGAGAGAUAUGAAUCCCACUUCAUAUCACCCACCUUAGAUUUAUUUACAUGUGCGUGUGUGUUUGUACGCUUUAGUUUUCUUCCUGUAUCUUUUUCAUUUGAGUGUGUGACUCCACUGCCAUCACAUUUGAGUGUGCAUUUCUUUGUGAGAAAAAGAAACAGAAGGAGAAAGAGAGUGCAUUUUUCAGAGCCAGUGGCUUUCAAUCUAUUAAAGCCUGAUUCUUAAACACUAAUCAAUGCACCCUUUUAUAUUUCCAUUACAGUGGGAAGGUAUGAAUUAAGUAUGACAGUAGAGCACAGUAGUAGCUUCAUAACCCUGAGGAAAAUAAAGGUUAUCCACAUUCAAAAGGAUAGGCUGGUAUUAAUGUCGUUUUUAUCAAAACAGGAAGAAAAGGGUUUUGUGUUCCUCUGUGGGAAAAAUCAUCUUGAGAAAAGCUUUAAUUUCAUGCUGUAUGCUCGUACCAUUUAACAUUUUUUGUGCUACCAAAGGUUCAUGCAAGACACAAAGUAGGCAGUAGAUGGUCCAAUAAUCAAGUAAACAGCUUCUGCCAGGAUGUCCUUAAAGUCUUUUACAUGGUGGUAAAAUGGUAAUGAGUACACCUUGGAUGCAUUUAUAAAAAGAGACAAUAUCCACAAGAAUCCAUGUAUUACAUUAUCUUAAUGCAAGCAGCCCAAGUAACCAUUGAUGAAUAAGCUUUUGGUCAAUGACAAACGUCUUCUAUCUCUUUCAUUACAAAGCUCGGAGGAAUCAGCCAACGAUGAAUGAAAUGUAACUUCUACAGCCGGCCCAAUCACAUCCGUGUCUCUUCCUUAAAGGAUGACAAAUGUGUAUACUGACACCAAAUCUUUUCAAUCGCCCAGAUCAUGUCUUGCAUAAGAUCUGAGCUUUUUAUUCCGCGUGGGUCUAUAAGCAGCCUCAUGCCACUGGCCUCCCACUAUUCUUUUUUUCUUCUCCAAAUGUUGUGUUUGCUGUAUUGCAUCAUAUAUUCCCUCUGGACUGUGUUAAAUUGGUGAUAUAUGCACUGUAGCAUGCAGCUGUCAAGAGAGAAUACAUUCAUGCUAUGGAGCCCACAGUGUGUGCUCCUGUUUUAGGCAUGAUAUACAGGAAAUAACUGCAGUGGAACAGGAAGCCCCGCUUGCCCCCACGUCUUUCUCUCUCUAUUCCUGUCUUUCUUUAAAGUGACUAAACUGAUGGGUUUUGUUUCAUCUCACAGCACACUUUAUUAGCUAUGUCUGUUUGUGCACAUGUCCCUCAACCCUAAUUAAUUUAAUGUACUUAAGUACCAGAUUUGCAUUAGAGAGCGCUGGCCUUUGGAGUAUACUUUAUUGGUGUUGUCUUAGUAACCUGCAUCUCUUGUCCCUGCCUUUCAGCCUGUCCCCUCAGACACACACACACAUGCACAGAUUUAUUCCAUUUCACUCACCCAGCCUUAUUUUCUUUGGGGAAGUGUAAGUCUGUGUGCGUGUGUGUGUGUGCGUUUUCUUCUUUUUUUUUCCUUUUUGCUUCACUGUGGUAGUUUAUUAGGGAUGUCUCCUUUGAUAGUUAGUGAGCACGCGUGAUUAUGGCUGAAAGGGAUUGGGCCGGGCGCUGGGCCGGAGGAAGUCUGCCUAAUGAUAUUAACAACAUCCUUUAUUGGCCAGCUACUGCAGGGAGAGGGAGGAGAAGAGCAAAGAGAGGGAAUGGGAGGGGCGGGAAUAGAAUGAAAGAACUGGGUGUUAGAAGGAAAGGGGAAAAAGAGGGAAGAGAAAAUUUAAGGUGAAUGAAGGAGAUGGUAUGCUGAGGGCACUGGGUUACCAAGUCUAGAGGAUUUACCCUGAAUUAAAAACAAGGAAGAGGUUGAUAGACAUGAGGGAGAUUAAAAUAAAAUAGGACAAAAUUAAAAGGAAGAGAUAAUCCCUGACCCCUCAUUGUAGAGACUCUUUCUCUGUCUAAACAAAUUUCACAGAGGUGUUUAUCCCAAAGUUCAAAUUGAUUAGCAGCCCUAUCUGUCUUCAUCAAACAGUAGAGGUCCAUUAAAGCUCAGUGGUCAGUGUCUGAAAAUUAAACAGGUUAAAUAGAGGUACUCUUUAAAAUAAUGUUAUGGCAGACGCUUUAAAAACUUCUCCAGUUUAGGGUGGUGAUGGGAGGUGAAGAAGGUCUUGUGUUUACCAAGAAAUUUUCAGUGAAAUUUGUGUCUGAAAUUAGAAGAAGCUCUGAGCUAAACAGUGUGGUAAAUAUAUAUAUAUAUUUUUUGUUGAUAUUUUGCUUUAAGGGUGAAAUAUUGUUGUAUGAGUUGAGUCUUUUGCAUUCACAGUUCUGUUCUUGCACAUGGAUGAAAGACUAAUUAGUUGUUUUUUUUUUCUUUGUUGCUGCAAUUUCUGAAUUAAAAAAAUAAAUAAAAUCAGCACGCAGUUUUACACCCUCUGGGACAAAAGUGUGCAUCAAACCACACAUGUUCUCCCCUAUCUAAUGCACAAACAACAACUGACACAGUGUUGAUUGUUGAGCAGCACAAAUCCUCAUCCGCACUAACACUCAGUGAAAGCUGUCACCUUGAGAAGCCCCGCGCUACAUCAGAAAAUGUCAAGGCUUGCAAUUUCCUCUAUUUACCCUGGCAAGGUGCCAAAGAUCCUAAACCCCACCUAGAUAUAUGUGCCUCUGUGCUGUGUGUGUUUGUGUGUGUUUGUGCUUGCGUGUGCGAGUUCAUUUGUCUGCAGCUGUGUGCUAGCAAGUUUGUUUGUUUGUUUGCAGGCGUGCUAGUCUCUCUAUCUGGAUGUGAGUGUGUCCGUGGAGUUAUGUGGGGAUUUUGUUUAUGUCUCCGAGUUCCUCUGGUUGCAAUUGUGCCUUUAGUGUGUAUGUGUGCGAACUCGGGAGAGACAGGGAUAGACAAAUAAACUCAUUCUCAUGCACUGUGUCUCUCUGUUAGCAGUGUCAGCAUCUCUCUGCACCCGUGGCUAAAGAGAAAUCAAAUACACACAGUCAACAGUCGUGCUGUCAUGAGCUCACACACUCACGACUUGGCACACUAACACGUAUAUUCACAGGCUGGAGUUUGAUGCAUUAAUAACAUCUCAAAUAGCCUAAGUGUUAUCCCGCGUUGACAGGUUACAUGUUGGCAUGUGGGUGUUACAGACAGAAUAGUGACAGUGAUAAAAGCGCUCUCUAUAUCAGUGUGAUUGUGUGCAUCUGUUAAAGACAGACAGAGAGAGAGAUUGAGAGAGGUCCAAACAUUUGGUCGCUUAACUCUAUCGCCCCUCAAAAGGAAGGAUUAAAACUACAGAGUCACUUUGUAUGACUGCAGCUGCUGACACGGUGUUUGUGUGUUUCUGUCAGUAAGUGGACCAUGUGUCUGGCUGCACCAUGCAUCUUAGUGCCACCGUCUUGACGAUUGUUAUAUGUGAAAUACUCUUACCUACCUUUGAUCAAAUAUGUGUCCAACUAUAAGACUGCUUCUACAUUUGAAGCUUUAGUAAAAUCACUAAAGGAGGAGCAGGUACCUGAUAUCUACGUGCUGCAGCAAAUGAACAUUAUACAUAUGGAGAUAACCCGGCAAAAACAAAAGUGGAUGGAGCAUGUAAACUGGCUGCCUGGUGCACCACAGUUGUAUGGCCAAUGAAUUGAUGCCCAAACACUGUGGCUCAAACACCAGCUGAACACACCAUCUGUUUCUCUGCAAUCCUACUCAUUAGGGACAUGUAUUUUAAUUUAUUUUUAUUUCCCUUGUCAUGAUGGGUAAAACUAUCACCCUUCUAAUUUCUACUACAACAGUACACUUGUCAUUUCCUAUCCAUUAUGGAUUUUGAUAUGUUUUUUUUUUAUCACACACCUUUUAUGAUUUUCAGCAGAUUUUCCCCAGAUUUCGAUUCUUAUCAUUUUAUCUUCAUGGCAGAAAUAAGCAUUUGAAGACAGAACAGUUGAGGUGAAAUCUGACUAUUUAUUCAGUUAUUUAUUUAUAAGCCCAACUGUCCACAGCUGAUAUUUGCGACUGUUUCCUGUUCAUAAUGACUUUAAUGAGAGAAAAGCACUGGGUCCAUCAGCUGAAGGCUGCAGUCAUGCUAGCUUUCUGCAUCCCUCCUUUCUCUUUCAUGGCCACCAACAACAUCCUGUGGUGUCAUUGUUGUUAAGCACAAUGAAAAUGAGUCUGUUAAAGGGACAUGAGACAUUUUGAUCAGGAUUGCAUGAUGGAGAGACUUGUUCAAGUUUUCUUUUUCCUCUUUCUGUGAGGCCCUAAAUUUUGACAAUCCCUUGACCAAGAGUGUUGCCGUACACAGGACAUUUGUCAGGGAUGUGUGAGAUACUUCCUGCCUAUUUAAGUACAUAUACUCCCGUGUCAAAUAUCAUAUAGAGUAUCUGUGCUGAUGUGUGUGUGAGCAGUGGAUUGGAUUUCACUGUGAAGGCACGUUGAACAGUCAGUUAAUUUCCUGCCACACGUUGUGUUAUUGUCUCGAUGACAAACACACACAUUCCUGAUGCAUCGUUGGCCGUGGACAUUAUGGUCCCACAUAUAUUUUAUCUCUUAAAGUCUGGGAAGUAUUUUCUUGUAUAUUUAUAAAUUAAAAAAAGAAAAAGGAAGAAACUAUAAGAGGAACGGGCAAACCAUGUGUUUAAGUUCUACUUCUAAAAGGCUGUUGUUUAGCCAAUAAGAUUUUAGUCUUCCUUAAAGCUAUAGUGCAUAACUUCUAUCAGCCCCCUAGAGGAUUCCUGCGGUACCUCAAUAUGAUGUAUGUCCCAGUAUAACCCGUACUCGGUCCAGUACAUGUAAUAGCAACACAUCCUGUUCGUCACUUAAUUAUCCAGCAGUAUCAUGGCAACAUCGGUGUCGGACCUCAGUCCAAUCUCCUCCUUCAGGGCUCGCCAUUGAGGAAAAGUGAUGAGGAAAAGUCUUCUCCAUUUGUUACUCUCUUUCUUCCCCAACAGACCUUCUGCCGAACAGAAAGGCUUUUCCUUUUUAGUAGGAUCCACUUCUCAACCUCUUGGUGACUUCUCCGGGUCUCUCCGCCAUGUUGCUACUAGCAGCGCUCUCCUCCCCCCUCCCGUUUUGUUGUCAGAUAAAACCGAGUAGAACGUAUCAUAUCCUGUGGGCUAGUGCAGGAAUGUCACCCCCCAACACCAAAUACAAAUAGAACAAAUUCUUAACAAAAAAAAAACGAAAAAAAAAACGCGAGGUGUUAGAGGAGCUGAACAGCUUAAUCAGAGUUGUAUCAUCCCCUCUUGUAGUGGUUCGGGUCAAACAGAUAUUUAUAGACACGUAGAAGUUACGCAUUGUAGCUUUAAUUUGAUUGUACUGAAAAAGAUGUCAGGAAAGCUUGCACAACAUUUGGACUGGGAGCGUGUUUCUCAUAUUUAACACACUUUACUCUCAAAUUCAGAUAAGGACCUAAAAUCCUUGAGCAAAGAGACCAGUUGACUUUGAAAGACAGUGUAUGUAGCGUACAAAGAGGUUUGUAGACAGCUCAUAAGAAUGUGUUAAGCCAUGUCGAGCCUCAGCUGAUAAAAACAGACACAUGAUGCCAAAGAACAACAUUUUAACAUAUGUCAGACUUUCCUCCAGAAGCAAUAUGCUAAAAAGAGCUUUCAAACCGGAGGGGAACCGCGGUCUGUGAAGAAUAAGUGAGUGUUUGUAGUGGCAGAGGGGGGGCUGACAUGGCUGCAGGCAUCUCUACUGUUGAGAAAAGUUAAGGAGGUUUAGCUCGAGUGUGAAAUCCAUAUUGAAGCCCUUCGGUUAUGCUCGGCUAGGCCAAUUGCGUCUCAUGAAUGUGUGGGUGUGUUUUCGCGUUUUAGUGUGUGUGUUUGAGAGGGUGUGUGUGUGUGCGUGUGUGUGUGUGUGUGUGUACACAUGCCAACAUCAUUACUUCCUUUCUUUCUGUGUCAGUGUAUUAUUUUACUGUAGAGUCGAUGGUAAUGUGGUUUGGUAUGAACAUUUCACACAGUUAGAUUCUUUAAAUGUGUGUGUAUGUCUGUGGAAGAGUUUAGUCCCUCAUUUAUGGCAAAAAUCCAGUGACCUCAAAAAAUGUCCAUAUAGGACUUAUCACAAGAGGCCGUAUUUCUCCACCACUUAGAGCAAAGUGAUUUAAUUGCCUACUUAAAGGUAAUAUGGCCUCGACUGGCAUUUUUCAGAAUUAAAAGAAAAUAUAAUGAAACAUAAAAAUGCCCAUUAAGUUCCACAAUAAUGAUUCAAUACUCAGAAAAUUGAGUUUUCAGGAUGAAGAGUCUCUUUAGGGUGGUAUUUAAACAUUACAGGAUGUUAGAGUGAACAUGGAGGGUUGUGUAACUUGUGUGUGUUUGUAUCAAAUUUCCCACUUCAGUUCCAGACACAGAAAAUGGGGACUCAGCUGUGAACUUGUGAUCUAAUAAGUGUUCAAAAAGUAGUACUUUGUAAAACGUUGUUCAAUGCUGCACUUUCUUACAAGACAACCUUCUGAAGUGUGAAGAAUGCUCUCUAAGAGGUGGUUUGAUCUGUUUGAAAUAAUUGCAAAUCUUGAGUGCUCUUGUCGUACUUCUCAAACCAGAACCGAGAUAUGAGAGUAAAGUCGGGUCAGAGUUCAUGAGUGUUUUUUAGCCUGACUUCAUUUAGCUGAGAAAUGGCCACCCGUCGAGCUUCGUGGGACUAAUGCUCGUCGUGGAUCAUCAGCUACAAGAUCAGAACAGAACGUAACAGUGCACAGAACUCGACAGUGUUAAUUACAAGUCUUACAUACAUUCAUAUUCACAUCCAGACCCUCAUGUACGCCACAGAAAACCUCAAACAGGGAGGAUUAUGAAUAUUAUUGGGGGAAAAAAAAAAAACUUAUUCUGACAAUAAUUCCUACUUCAAGCUCGGGGCUGUGCUUGACUUAACUCUUCUGAAUGUUUUCAUGAGGAAGAGGCUUUUAGGAAGCUUUAUGUUCAAGAGACAGGCAUAAGGGAUUCUCAUGGGGCUGUGACACCCCCACUGUGAAAAAGAUUCCAACAAUACAUCACAUACAACAAUUUAGAGACACACACCAGCUCUGUAGUCUCCGCCGCAGCUGCGUCGACAGAUCGUGCUUCGAUUGUACCCGAAGAUGUCGUUGGGCUGUGACUCAAACUUGUUCUUGUAGUAUGAACUUUGUAACUGGAUAAAGCAGCAUGGUUCCUCAAGGCCUCCUAAUAAAGCGGUGAUGUAGUGGUCAAGGAAACGGCUAAAAGUGCGUCUCAUUUUGAGUGCGAAUGUCAGUACUUGGAGGAUGCUUUCAGGAAAUAACUUUGAUUUUGACUACUGUAGCUUUCUGCUUCCUUUGAGCUUCCAGAGAGAUUCUGAAAGAUUUAAAGUUAAAGUACAAGUUCAAGGACAACAUGGGCUUUAUUCAUUUAUUUUCAAGCUUUUCACAAGUCAUCUGACUAAAACCCACAUGUGCUGGAUAAGAAGUAAGGCUGUCAUUACCUGAGAUUUUUACCUUGUGACCAAAUUAUUAAUAUUAAUGAUAAUAGCCACAAUAAUGAUAAUGAUGUUAUUGGGGCAUUUAUGGAAACUAAGGGUGUCUGGAUACAAUAUUGGCACGUACAUCUCAAACUGAAUUUAGUAUAGGCCUCAGAGGGUCAAAAAUAUGGAAUUCUCUUCCAUUUCAUUUAUGGGAGUUGUCUUCUCACCAAUUUAAGAAGGCGUUGAAAUCACUUCUUUUAACUAAAUACUUCCCAUAUGGUAUGCUUAACGAACCAGGAUCCAUUCAUUAUUUUCUCUAGUGGUUUUUUAUUCUGUGUCUCUCUGACUUUUUAUUUUGUGUUGUGCUUUCGUUGUUUCAGUUCCUUGUUCUAUAAUCUAUAACUCUGUUUUUCUUUUGGCCAUUUCUCGAGCCCCUGGAGGGUUUUCAGGAACUCUCCUUCACAUAAUCAUUAAAUUUUGUAACCUAUGUUUUUAAACUCUUUUGUAUGUGAAAAUAAACAAACCAAACCAAACCAAACCAAUAUUGAUAUUGGAUAUUGGUCUGAUAUAAGCCAAAAAAAAAAAAAAAGAAUAUCAGAUUAUGUCGGCCUGCAGCUAUAAUCUCUGAUAUCAGCACUUCGAUACAAGCAGUCCAUUCCAGAUUCCGCUCUGUCAUUUAUCUAUUAUUUAUCUAUCUAGCAGCGCCCGGGUAUGGCAUGCAGAGCCCACAAACUCAAAACAACAGUGUGUGCUCGGGUACAAACAAGGUAGAAAGGAGUAGGAGUGAUGUCGGCCUUGUGGCAGUAUUUCUUAAGUCCGAAAAAGACAUCGCAGCUGAGUGAAAAACUUGUUAUACACAAUUUUGUGCCAAUAUCGGAUCUAUAUCGGUAUCAGUUAAGAUUGAAGGCUACAAUAUCGAUAUCAUAGUGGAGGCAAAAAAGUUGUACCAGGACACUCCUAAUGGAAACUUCAGAGUACUUGAUUUAUACAUCUAUAUCUAUCUAUAACCUCCUCCUACUGCCAUUGGCUCAGGGGGAGGAAAGUGGCCCUCGGGGGAAGCGGGGGCCCUUGAUGAGCCAAAAAUACACAUAAACUUUUUUUUGCUGCUUUUUUUUUCUCCAGGUUAUUACCGUUAAAGAAAAACUAACACUGUCUGAUUAAAUAAACAGAUACUCAGCUUUUCUUUCUGGAAAUAAUGAAGUCUCCUCCAGAAGCCCCUCGUACCCCGACCUAAUGCAGGCGGUUAAGCCCCCUGAGCAAUGGGAAGAAAGUAAUUAAUCUUCAGUAUUUUUCUUAAACCAAAUACUUUGCGAUGACUUGCUUUCCCUUUGGUCCUUUUACACGCUUUUGAUCAAGAUAACAUGUAUCCAGUAGUUUUGCAAUUAAAGCAGCGUAUACCAGAAUCAUGGAUAGUCAACAGGCCUCCCUUUUAGGAGGGAACUUAAAUAAAGGAGUGGCACUUUGUUUUAUCUGGACCUGACAGAAGCAGACAGACAUGAUUCCUGUUGCUGUUUGAGAGGUGAAUGGACACAGAUUACACCUCGUUUUGUCCUCUAUAGAUUUUAGUGAUAACAGUAAGAGGGAAGAACAAUUUCCUCUCCAGCAGUCUGAACAAAUGACCCUCCCUGUUUCUGUUGGCAUUAGUGUUGAAAAGACUUAAAUGUAUAGGGGCCCUCUGUGCUUCUUUUUUUAACAUCAACAUCACUGUGAUUCAGACGCUGAGUUAUCUGCUGCCUUGUGAAAAAAAGGGUAAUGUGCAUGUUGAUACAAGCAGAUGAACAUUGAAUCAUCAGACCCUCACAACCUCCACGUCAGUGCAACCGAAAGAUGAAAAUCCAAUCUCUGCUUCUGACUCACUGCCAAAGAAAAAUGGUAAAUCAUUAAAGAAAAACUGUACUGUCUCAGUUUUUGAAACAGAAAAAUAUAUCAUGCAUUUAUUAAAUUAUAAACUUUAAUUAUAUUUUUUAUGAAUAUAUUUUAUUCAUGUAUUAAUUUGCACAUCUUUGCUCUUUGUCAGUUGUCUUUGAAUUGAUUAUGAGUUGGUUUAAAUGAAGGUUCAAUAUUUAAUGCAAUACAUCAGUGUGUCAGUCACAACAAUUUAAAACAGCAAAUUGUAGAAAAUUACUUUUUUUUAAAUUAAAAUAAUGUGAAUGACUUAAAUUCAAUAUCUUUACACAAAGUGAAUUAAAUCCAGUUAUUGAAAUUGUUGUUUAUUAUUAUGAUAUCGUCUUUAGACUUAAAUCAAUUCUACUAAAUUAAGACCAGGAGCUUCGGAUCUGACUUUACUGAUGCAAAGAGUUAUAUGAAGAAAUGUGAGCAGAGAGAGAGAGAGAGAUGGAGAAAAUAAGAAAUAACUGGUCUUUUCUGCAGAACCGAGAAGAAUUUAAGAAUGUGCAUCGAAGUGCAAAGAGGUGACGAUUCUGCGGAGAGGAUUUAGGAUUUAAUAUUUCCAAAAAUAAUUAUGCAAGACUACAACUUUAAAGGUAUCUUAAAAUCCUCUGUGGAUUAUCAGAUGUAGUUGUUAACAUAGUUUCCAUGACUGUAUAUUCUUGAUGGUCCAAUAAGCACUUAUAAUUCCACGAAUGGCAAUGAAAGAAAAGGACGACAAAACAUUUAGAAAUGAGUAUCCUCACAUGUCCUUGUGCACUAUUUCACAUCAAAAUCUCUCGCAGUUAUUCAUCAACUCAGCAGAACUAGUCUGUUCAUUCAUAGUCAUGAAGAUGGUUUGCCGAAGCUUGAAAAAUGUUUGUACUAAUGACUGAAAGCAGCGCUCCCUUAGCCAGGUACUGUAGAUCUGAGCCAGUAGUUUUCUUUUAACGGUCUAUAACUGUUGUUUCAUUUUUGACUGCUGGUUGAUUGGGUGGGGAAUCUUAAAGUUGAUGUUGAAAAGGAAACUCUUAUACUCGUUGUAAAGUCGUGUUAAUCCAGUAAAACGAUGAUCCAAAAGAAACUCCUCAUCCUGACCUAAACAGUCUCAUUUGCUUCUGUACCUCAUGGAGAUACUUCACUGUUAUUUUCAGUCUGUUUCAUCCUUAUCAGCAGUUAUAACAGAACCUUAACAGUCACACAAUUUAAUGAAAACAUGGAAAAUAAUAUAAAGAAAGCAGGGUAAUGAAAGCAAUGAUUGAGCUCCAAUGUAAAGGGACACUGACCUUGCUGUAAAUAGGGCACCAGUUCUCUCUAAAUAACAUAUUGGAGCAUUAAAACCGCUGCAUACAUUAAUGGGAUUCCAUUAAAGAGAGAUGGGGGAAGAGACCAAGGGCAACAGUCUGUGAGGGGGUUCAAGAUGAUGAGAGUAAGUGAAAACGAUAAAAAAAUGAUAUUAACAGGGAAAAAAAGAUAUAAAGGAAUACAAUAAAAAGGUAAUUAUGCACAAAUAAUAAAACAAACAUGGCAUUUUGUGAGCAGCAUAAAAAAGGAAGAUAGGCAGAGAAAGAGGAGAGACAGAGAGACAGAUUUGAGAUGAGUCAGGCCACCAGAUGGUCUAAUGACCACAGGAAAUAUUACAGCUGGCAACCGCUCACCAACAUUAAUGACACCAGUCAUUUAAGAGCCCCAAGAAGAGCCACAGUGUGUGUGUGUGUGUGUGUGUGUGUGUGUGCGCAUCAUCCUGUGGGUGUAUGUGUGGAGGACAUUAAUGUGAAUUACAAGGUCAGAGAGUCCUUCUAAUUAUUUUAUGAUUACGAAAUGCAAUGAAUCCAGACACCACUCUACUUAAGAUAGUCUGCUGAAAACGUUGCUCUGGUUAAGAGAAGGGGACGCAUUCGGAUUUUCUCAAUGGAGGAAAUAUCGCAGUAAGUGAGUGUGCAGCACAGAUCUUUAUUUAACUUCAGGUGUUUUCUCACGAGAGGCACACUUGUUACAGUUAUUGUAAAAUUUAUUGUAUUUAACAAUAGAAAAAAAAGGAUAAUAUCUCAAAUUUUUUCUUAUUUGAGUAACUUUUAAUAGUAUAUUUUUGAACCAGUGCAUUAUUGUUUUUAUUAAUAAGUCCUUCCAAUCCAAUCCUAUCCAAUAAUAACACUCACACACACACACACUCACACACACCUCUGUGCCUACCUCUCGCUGGCCCUGUAUCGCUCCCUUAUUUCUUUACAUCCUCCUACCUCUCUUAUCUCUUUCUCAUGGGUCUAUAUGAAAUAUUCUGACCAGGCUUCAACAGUGGACACAUAAUUAGAAACCACUGAACCCUGACUUCAACAUGGGGGCUCUUCUCCCAGAAAAGUGUGUAUGCCUCUGUGUGUAUAUGUGUGUGUGUGUGUGGUGGAUGUUGAAAAAGGAGAGCUGGGACGAGCCUGUAAAACAGCUUCAUUGUAAGAAUACAUCAGUUUAAAAUGACUGUGUUCAACACCACAUUUAGACAGAGAGAGACCGAGGCAGAGAGAGACAAACAGGGGGAUGCGGGAAGAUUAGCCAAAUGGAUAAAUGGGUUGAUAGAUGGGGCAUUCGGGAGAAGGUAGACGAGAGGAGGAGAGGUGUAAACAGAGAUGGGAAUAGAUGGUUAUGGCUCGUCUCCAUUAGUCUUUGUUUUUUGUCUCUUACAACCAAAUCUGGUUGAUAAUUCAGUUUUUUCUAUAAAAAAGGAUAAAUAAUCUGAUAUUCCCGCGACAGAAAACAGAGGGACCGACUGUUUUUCAGUAUUUUUAAAUGAAGAAACUUGUGGAAGUGGCUUACAAACAGGCAUUUACAAACCAGGUUUCCAUUGAAGCUGGAAUUUGGCUGGCAGCCUGUUUGCACACCUCCAUUUUUCAGUGGCAGUGGCCUGACUUUUACCUGACUUUGUCCUUGUAUAGCUUUAGUACGGUGUCAUGGUGUGACUAGCUAGUUAUGGUUUGUGCUGACGGCUUGUAACUGUAUUAGAAAAGGACAGAGGAGCCUUUAGGACAGUUUCCAUCAGCGCGUCCUUGGAAUAUGCAGACAUUAACACAUAGUCAUACAUGAAGCUGCAUGCACACACACAAAAAAGCACAUUAAUCGACACACAGACAGACACACACACACACACACCCCACACAUGACAUGCCCACAUGCACAUGCAGCCUUUUAUGAGCCCUCCCUUAUGGCUGUUGCAGGGAAUGAAUGUCCAGUAGCCGGGCUGUUAAUUAACAUUUAUGAAGGAAGAUGACCGUUGAAUGGUUAGGCCCUCACAGCCUUCACGUCAGAGCAACCAGAGUAUAAAAAUCCAAUCUCUGCCUCUGCCUCGCUGCCAAAGUAAUAACGGUAAAUCAUGAUGUUGGUUUGUUUUAUAAUGUAGUAUAAAAUGGAGCAGAUACCCUUUAGGGGGUACAGUGUUUGUUUUUGGACAGUAUUUCAGCAGCAUAUUUGGAGAGCUUUGAGGAUGUUUUGCAGAUACACUAAGUGAUAGAAGCUUUCCGUGUGUGUGUGUGUGUGUGUGUGUGUCAGUGUCUCGUAUCUGGUAAUAUCCCGGUCUUAAAUAUUUACAAUGCAAAAACAAAAUGUAUCAUGGUUGUAACUUUCAGACAGUUAAUGUUAUAUCCAUUUUAUUGAGUUGAAACUGUCAGCUGUGUUGCAGAGUUAAAUCUUAAUUUUAUUAUUAUUUGUUUGUAACGCCGGGAGGAUAAUCAAAGUCUCUAUAUGGGGCAAACACUUAAACUGCUGGACAAACUAGCAGCCCAGUUUCUUUCUAUUUUAAAUAACAUUUUAGGGUUUAACACAACUUAAAAUUUUGCUUUUAAACACACAGUGCCUAAGUAGGUGUCUUCAGAGAUCCUAACAAACUUAAAACCUGAUUAUGAGGCUUUUUAGAUAUCAUUAUUUAAUAAUCAAAUCUGCACCUUUAUGUUAUUAUUUUACAACUACAACUCUGUUCUGAGUGUGUUUGUGUGGACUCAAACAAUUGUUACCUCAGUGUGCACACAGCUGUUGUUUAUCUACUGCGCAUGCGCCAAGUUGGCGAGGACAUUUGCUCUGCACUUGGUUUGUCCGUUUACAGAAACGUUAACUUCCUCAUCGUAUCGUAGUGCAGGGGCGGUUGCUGUUAUUCUGCUGCGAAAGAUGCUUUUCUUUGUUUUGGUCGUUGAAAGUUUGGGAAAAGUCCUGAAUUUGAUUUUAAAAUUGAUUUCUAGUUUAAUUCUCAAAUGGUGUAAACCAAAUUUUCUUGACCCCUUCAAGCCCUCGUUUUAACCACAUCUAGUUUACACCCUGACCAACUACUUACAAGCUACACCAGGACAUUGUUAAAGAGAGCACACCAACCAACACCCAUGUGGUUGUUUUUGUAAUUAGAUUUAACAAAGAUAAAAUACUAAUACUGUGAAGACACAUGAGCACAUGACCACACGCAGAUCCAAGCAGGGACCUCACACACGUGGACAGUUCCAGCCGCAGCUCCCAAACACCUGUCUGCCAAUCUUCCAGCGGUGAUUUGUCCACGUCUGCUUUCCCCUGGCCGGUGGAAACACUGUGUGUGAGCAGCAUGUGUGUUGAUAUGUCAGUUUCUGUGUGUUAGCAGUCUGACGGCCACAGAUAAGGUGGCAGUUAUCUUAUCUUGCAGUGCCAACCUACCCUAAACCUGCACAAACCUCAGGUGUCACAGUGUGCUGGCUUCUCCCCAAGCAUCCCCUCAUUUUCAUGUCAAUUUCACACCAUUUUGCUGUCUCUCAGCCUGUGCCCUUCCUCCCUGCUGUCUCUCCCCCUCAACACUCCCACCCCCCUCUUCAUAGACGGUUAAACCCGUUUUAGCCCAGCUAUGCCUCUCUGUUUCCCCUUUAUCACUCCCUUUUUUCUCCUCUUGCUCUUUUGACCCUUCUUUGUAUCAGUCUGCUUGGCUUUGUUAUCAAUCUCUCCUGUCCUUGGCCCACUUUGACAGUGUUCACUCUUUUGCUUACUUGGUCUUUGCCCACGUUUGAAUCUUGGUUUUAAUUUCCUUUCUCUUUAUUGCUCCUUCCAUCCCUAUUUAUCUUGCUCUCCUCAUCACUGGUUUCAGUUGCUGGAAGUGGCGACACUCCUCGAAGAAUCUCAUAUGCUUCCUCUGUGUUUCUUUUGAAUUGUGCUUUCUUAUGUUUGGAUUUUAAGACUUCAGCCGUUUUUAACCUGGAGUUUGUUUGCUUUGAUCCAGAUAGUGGACCAGUUUGUUUGACUGUUACAUAGUUAUCUCAGGUUUGGUUUGAUUCACACGAGGACAUUUACAAUCAGACUGAAAUGUGUAAUGAUGCACAAAAGAAGUUGUGCUGAAGUUUCCUGCAGCUGCAAGACGAGUACAUCCUGCUUGACAUGAGCUGCUUUGGAUCCAAAAUGAAUGGACAACAGUGGUCAGUGGUUGUGAUAUUUUUUUUAUUGUUUGGAUUAACCACUGAAGGCAGUUAGUACAGCUUGAAAAUGAAACAUAACUCUGGCUGAAAUAAUAUUUUGAUGUAUUGGAGAUGCACCAAGAAACUUUCUAUGAUUGUUGGUGUAAUAAAGGAAAGUUAAAGGUGCAGUGUGUUGGAUUUAGCUGUAUUUUACAAAUUGGAUAUAACAAUCAAAAUACGUUUAAAUAAAUUUAUAAUCAACUUACUAUAAAGUGAUUUUGUUUUCGUUAACUCAAAAUGAGCCCUUUAAGAGCAGGUCCCUCUGAUGGAACAAACUAGUUACAUACAUGUAUUGAAUGAGUGGCUGCAUGAACACUACAAGAACCUUUUGUCCUCAAAAGGCCACUGUAGUCUCUCUGCCAGGAAGGUUGAGAAGGUAAUGUUUUAAACACUUUUUACACACUACACCUUUAACACAGCAAUCUACUGCAGUAACACAAAUUUUUAUCUCUUUUAUUUGAGUGGUACCAUUAAAAUAUCCUUUAAACUUGUUUAAUGUCUCUGAAUCAUAUAAGCUAAUUUAUUCUAACUUAUAAGUAAGAUGGAUCUGAAAGUAAAAGUUAUUCUUAUUAAACGAUACAUAGCAAGAAGCAAGAGUUCUGUUUAGUUUGCUUUUUAGUUAGUUUGCUUUAGUUUGAUGUGGAUUUCAAUUUCUGCGAGUCUAGCACUUAUAGUUUGGAAAAUACCACACAUUUUUAAACUCGAUUUUAAAUACAGAGGUUAAGGGUUAAGAUCAGUCUGUCACUCGGGCUUCAGUCCACCCUCUUUCAUCCAUGCCCAUUAGGGCAGGUGUACUGUGAAAAAGAGGACAUGAGUUACUAUAACACAAGUUAUGUUUGAUUUAAAUAACACCAAUGCAACGUAUUCUGUUCAACUUUAACACACCCUUAAAAGAACGGUUGAAGUGUUUUUUAUAUUCUGAGUUUGACAGAAAACUUCUCUCAGUCUUUCAUCAUCCAUCUCAGUUGCUGUGAUUGUGCAUUAGCAGGUUAUGGCUAAUGUAUCAACGCAACAGAGCAGCUGUGGUGCAAGCUAACAGAGGCAAACAUCUAGGCUUACAAGCACAAGUAUCACGGUUGUUUGCUGAGCAUUUAUGAGCUAAUUUGUUUGCAGUUGUUAAAAUUACCAUUACAAAACUCUCACCUCAGCCUCACAGUGUCCAGCUAAGUUUUAGUCAGAUUUUUAUAUUACUGCAAGGUGUUACAGUUUUCAGAACAGAGGGCAAUGCUCGAGGUAAAAUGUGGAUCUAGUAGUCACAGAUAUUUGUAAAAACACAGUGCUGUCUUUUUUAUGUUUUUAUUUUUAAAUGCAUUUUCCAUGGAAAGACUCCAGAAGGACAUUUUACAAUAUUUUAGGGGCAACCAAGAGGUGACACUUGUAAGUAAGAGUCCUAAGAUAAGGAUCCCUUGUGAGGACACAGGUUACUUGAGACAGCAAGUGAUGAGGGAGCACGAAGUGGUAUUGGAUAACCACAACUUGACCUUCUAAGAACCUGUAAUUGGGCUUUCACACAUCUUUUCACACUCUUGUCUAAACAGUACUAUACUUGUGUAAACAGUAAAACACAUGAUUCAGACAGAGAAAGGUACACCAUACUAAAAUGGAAAGGUUUCUUUUGAGCAGCUUCUCCUAUUCAUGUCCAUGGCGAGAGAACACAGCUUUGAACCUUUUUGCUCCGUCCCCCUCUUUAUGAACAUGGCUGCACUAAAUCAUCUCUGGCUAUUCCCCCUCUCUCCAUCCACUCUGUUUUCAUUAUGUUACAGUAUGACAGAAAGACCCCAGACAGAUACAGGAUCCAAGAUAAAGCAUCUGCUGCAGUGAUGUCAGGGAACAGUUAUGUGGUAGAUUAUGAGGCUCAUGGUCUGAACUUUCAGCCCUCGGUUUGUUCUUUUAACCUCUGACAUCUUUGUUGUGCUAUCGUCAGGGUUUUUUUUUUCUUUAUCCCCUUCUAGUUCUCUUGCGUUUGGUCAUAUUUAAUUUGAGUUUUUCUCUUUUAACAUAUGAGAUGACUUCAAUGUACCUUGUUUGCUCAACUCUUACAAAAUCAUUUUAUAUAUAUGGCUUAAUUCGAGAGCUAUAAAGUUUGUUAUUAUUAUUCUUAUUUACUUGAUUGUAGCUGAGAAAAGCUUUUAGUUUCUUCGGUUUCUGUUGUGGCUGUGAAUUUGAAGGAGUAAAUUUGCUAAGUACAGGGCUAAUGCUAUCAAGAUAAUGUUAUUAUGAACUGUGACAUGCACUUUGUGAUUAUUAUGUAUGUAUUAUGAGAGUUUAAUUUUAAUUAGUGAAUGCCUCUUGCAGAUAAACAGACAAGUCAGUCUGUUGUUUACCCUCCACAUAGCCCAUAGUCAGAUUCUCUGUCUCACCUUGCUCUUAUAGCCUUCAUCUUCUUAACCUGAUCCCCUGGCCUGCUAAUUAUAGCAGGCUUCAACAGAACCGACAGAGAAACCGAGCAGAAGGGAAGAAUUUGGGAACUGCCGGCGAUAUUCACAGUGGAUUUUGUGCAGUGUGCAGUUCAGCGGCUCCAAGGUCCUCUUUCAGCUCAUUGAUUUAUAGUUGUUACUCUGCUGGGUGGCUUUUUAAUUUCCCGAGAGUAUUUUUAGUUUGUUUGUGCUCUCAACACUCAAAGUUUGUGGAUGCUUUGGCUGUCCCAGAUUUUUAAGGUAGAGCUAAAUAUGAGAAUAUUUUUGAAAGAAAUCUGAUUGCAGGUGUUUUCCCCUCAUAUAAUAAACAAUAUUUCUGUUUGACAACAAUCAUUGUGCAUUCAAAAAACCGAUACAGGACAUCUGCCUUUCAGAUUGGACGCGCUAACAAUAGAUAAUGUGUCAAUUCAGGACAAUGAAGAAUACACUUGGACUUCUUUCCUUAAAGCUCGCUGGUGCUGACCAAUAUAAUAUUCUCAGGCUUGUGUCUGAUGGAUUAUAGAUUUAGACAGCCUUACUGGGCAUUAACACAAUUCCACAUUUUGCUACAUAUGAUCCAUUUGCGAAAUACACAAUCCUGACUGUAUGCUCAUAGUUAAACCUCUUUCCUCUUCUGUUGGCCCUGUCUCCUCAAGCAGAAUGUACAAUCAUGCUUUUAAGAUUUAUCCAGGAUUUAGCUGCUAACCGGAGUCAAAUAAAUCCCCCCGUGCUGUGAUGCACUGUGAUUGAGUGUCAUUAACAACUCUUCACAAAUAUCAAGUUUUGAUCUCUGCAGGCAUACAGUUGACCUUUUAUUACGGUGGUGUUGGAAAGACACAUGCUGAGUGUGUAAUUACUGUUUGCAAGACCAGCUCAUCUAUUUUAAUCCCUCUUUCUGUGAUAACAGUAUAUUUAGCUCCCUCUUUCAUGCUCUUUUUUUCUUUCUUGCAUAAUGAUGCUUUCACUCUUUCCAUAAAUAAUUUAAUCUCGGCCCGCUAACACUGACUGUCAAGCACCCCAUCUGAAACUUUACAGAGGCCAGUGGGAUUAGUUUUUGCUGAUUUACUCGGUUUUGUUUAGGCCCAUAUUUUUGUUAUAUCAUUAUAUCUGUGUUCUCUGCUGGUGUGAGAUCUUGUCAUGUCAGUUGCGGAGUUCUGGGACUGCUGAAUUUGUAAAGUGCAGCUGGUGUCCAUGUUGGAGGAAACAAAAAGAAAGUGUUGAAGUGUGUGUUGAGGCACAGAGAGAGUACAGCAGAGAGACAACAAGAGGAAGGUAGAUUGAGACACAAUGGGGAGAAAAACAGGACUUUUUCACACUGUAGCAUGUUCAGCAAUGUUUCUGUGUUACAGCAUAAGCAAAUCUCCCCCAUGUCUCACUUCUUUGACUCCUUAAGCCGAGCAGGCAGGGAGGCUGGGUUUUUGGGAAUUAAUAAGGAGCUUUUCAUCCACUGAUACCUAUAGAGUAUUAUAUAAUGUUAAUUUUAUUUCAACUAAAUCCUACUCUUCAUUUUUGAAUGUGCUUAAGUCAAACCUGAAAGCCCUGAAUGCUUUAUUCUGAUGUGCCUUUUCUCGUCUAUCUCCCGGUGUUUGGAGGUUUGUGCAGCUUCUUGUAUCCCAGACCACUUUAUCACAAGCGUGACAUGGCUGUGGUAACAGCCAUUUUACAGCACAGCAGAUUUGGCUGAUGUGCAUGGCAUGUUAAGUUACCUUGAAGCAAAGCUAGUGCUGUUUGGUGCGUGUUUGUGUGUGUAGUAACAGAGUGAAAAGCGUGUAAUAGGCUCACCUGUCCCUUGCUACAGACUCAUGGGUAAGCGGAGAGAACAGAAAGCAGAUGGAGGGAUGGGAGAUGGAAAAAUGAAUGUAAAGAGCAAGAUACUGCUGCACUAGUGGGGGGUUAGGGUUAGUGAAUCUCAAAUGCUGAGGUGACUUGGACUCUUUAACAAAGGGGAGACUUAAAAAAUAUGUUUUUUUGACCAACAGUUGGAUGUCAAACCUUUUCUUUAAGACUUUUAUUGAUGAAACCGCUAAUUCCAGUUUUUUAAAUCUUUUACAGGGUGAAGAGGAUAGCGCUGACCUUUCGCCUGGUCCAAGGUGAGUUCAGAUCUGUCUUUGACCUCGCUUCAGUUGUCUACACACUUCAAGUUAUUUCAGUUAUGUUUACGUGUUUUUUUUAUCUUUGUAAAAAAUCCUUGACGUAAACUUCUUUCAUUUUUCUGGAUGGACAAAUUUUUCCUCUUGCUCUAAAUCUGCACCGUUUCAUACAUUAAGUGUCCUUUUAUAUAUGCAAUUAAAUCUCUAAAAGGAAGCAGGUGAAAAGUCCAAAAGGCAGAGCAAAAUAAGAUUUACUAAGAGUUAAUAUUCCAGGUACCUCGUCAUAUUUAAUUCAAAAACAUUUGUUGGAAAAUUAGUUUUACCGAUCAACAAGCAACUGUUUUAAGUCCUGUGAGAAUCUGUAGCCUGCCAUGAUGGUGGUCUCUGCUCCCCCAGUCAGUAGCAUGUCUUUGGCAUUAUCUGGUUGCCGUGGUGACAUGCAAGUGUCAGCAGGAAGAUGUGCGAUGUCCUCUUGUGCAUGUGUGGUGGCGGGUGUUGAAAGGGUUCUGUGGAGGCGGAUAGAGUUCCCCCUGUCCGCAAAUGCCAGCGUCACUCUUAUGUUGAGGGUCGUAUACCAAAACUUUGGUAAUAUGUGCAUGCAGACACACACAGACACACACACACACACACACACACACACACCCUACCCCCACACACUCAAGUACACAUACUGAACUGAAACAGGAAAUACGCAGACAGAGUGGACACACAUGUAUGCAGAUAUCCAGAUUCCAUGCAGGCCACUGUCAUGCACUCAUGGUGACAGCUCAGGACUAUAAGGUUUCUUACAAUGCUUUGAACACCACCAUGUGUAGUUUUUGUGCACAUUUUUAUAACCUAGAGCUUAACGCCUCGCAUGCCAAUUUUAAUGCAAAGUCUGUAUCUGAUUUUAAAUGAUCUAUAUUUAUAGAUUUGUGACUGAUGACAUUUUCAAAUGACAUUUCACAUGCAAAUUUUACUAGCUAUAUGAGAGAAAUGAGGGGUCUGCGGCCUUGCUUAGAGGCAGCUGGACCACAUAUGAAGAGGGGGGAUGCAUUCAUCAUUUGCUCCUCCAUGCAGGUCUGGGGAUUUGAACCCUGGCCUGCAAAAGCUUGAGGCUUCUGUUGACAAUCAGGUGUGAUGCAUUUUAAUUACUCUGGGAUUCUGUUUUCGCUGUAACUGUAAAUGAGUUGAAGUUCAGGAAUUGAUCUGUCCUAUGGGAACUUUGGUUUUAGCAGAGCAUAUGUUACAUUGAGUAGUAUAAUGAGCUGGAUGGAACUGAUACAAACUCAUCAAAUUAAUUGGCAUGAAGGAGGCUGGAGACUGAGUGGAGAAGAGGAAGUCUGCUGCAUGAAGGAAAGAAAGAUUUUAAAAUAGAUUUUCUCUAAAGUCUGAUUUUUCUCGUCAUUUUAGUGAAGGUGUUCGCUCUUCAUUUUGAAACUGCAUCACAAAUUGAUGAAUGGCGAUAUGUUGACAAUGUUGUUUCCACUGAAGUCCAUGUAAAGGUCACAGUUGUACUAACAGCUGUACUACGAAUUAUUUUAUAUAGAAGGUAAACAAGCUUUUUUCAUGAUAGGACUACAGCGGAGAAAAUAACCCUUUAAAACUGAACUUAACCUUUAAGUUGUUCACCUGAUGCAUACAGGAGUCGGCACUUUUGACUCACUUUGUCAGACAAACCGUAUUUCACUCACUUGACCGCACUAUUCUGUGCUUAAUACAUUUUUAUAGUGUGUUAUAAAACUGUCGGUUUGUGAUAAGUCUCGCCAGGAUUCCUGGUGAAAUGGACAUCAAGGACCACUGUGCUAAAGGUUUUCCAGCUCUAAAAUGAUCAUGUCUGAUAGAUGAUGAAGAUAACAACCUUCACUCUCUUUACUGACUACUUUAAUGGCACCUCUGGGUGUCAAGGUGGACUCUGAGCUGUGCAGACACCACCAUGCCAUCUACACUUGCAGAGACGUAUACAUCCUCUGACUGUGAGUGGGUCAUCAGUAAUGUGAGACCGAGUGUUUUGGUCUCUUGGGGUCACCCUGUCGCCAGAAUCACCUUUACACACAUAUAGCUUGUCGCGUUUGCUUCCUUACUCCUGCUGUACUCACAUAAACAAAGACACACAUACUCUCUCUCUCUCUCUCUCUCUCUCUCUCUCUCUCUCUCUUUCUUUCACACACACACACACACCUGGUUAUUUUAGACUCACACGUAUUAAUCCAAAAUGUACCUUAAUCCCGGGCCUGAUUUAUUUUGAAAAAAGUUGUUUUGUGCAAACUGACUUUUAGAUUGCCUUUGCCAUCAGAGCAGGAGGAGUUUAUUUGUGCAGCAUAUUUCAACAAAAAAAUAAUUUCAUUUGAUUAAGGUCAUUACACACCGGCGAAUUAGCAAAGCCAAUUUGGGAGGUGAAUAAUUUCCUUUUUUUUUAAAACCUCAUGAAGUCAGAGCAAGCUUCCACACCAGCUACAAACUUCUGCAGAGCAAAAAAGUGACUGUAAUUUUUUUUUUUAGCCCCAGUAGUGAAGUUUGCAAACAUCACAGACGAACUGCUCCAUAAAUCUGUAGAUCUUACCUCAGACAUGUGGCAAGCCGUUGCUCCGGAUCAAUCGGCCCUCUGUAAUUUGUCCUCCCCCUCUGGAAACAGCUGAUGCAGCAGUUCUUGAAAUUGUCAGAGCGACAUUCAGAAGUAUUGUUGGAAUUUCUCGGGAUACAAUUUGAUCUCCUGGAUCGUUGUGUGGAGCUCCCCCAUCUCCUGUCACAAGGUCUGUAUUGGAUGUACCCAGACUCUUCGAUUCCUCUUUUUCUUUUUGUUAUUUAAUCGACUUACAACCACGACCAGUUGAGGAUGUAGUCACUAUUGUUUCUUCUUCCUCUCUCUCGCCCUCUGUUCGCCUGUGGUGUACUUUUGUGCCAAUAUGUGAUUUUUAUUCGCGUCGCACCAGGUGUGUAAAGGAAAAUGCGUAAGCUAAACAUUUCGCAUUGUCGUGUCGCUUUUUUGCGUCGCUUUGCUAAUUUGCCGGUGUGUAUUGACCUUUACCCUCACAGCUUUUCUGCCUGUGUUGUAUACUAUGUGAGAACACACCAAAACUUAUGCACUACGCCAAGCAUCAAAAUGUAUUGGGUUGAUCCUGACAGUGAUAGUAACACGGCCCCAUUAUUGUCCUGACCAUGCAGACUUGGUGUCACUUUACGGUGUCGAGCAGAUUCCAGGCUCUCUCUGUUGGCGGUCCAGAAGUUAGCUUGUAUGCACAUUGACAAGGAAAUAUUGAGAUCAGCACUGGUCUCUGUCCCUGUUACCAAGAACUGCUGACAAGGAAGGACCAAAAGAGUUGUUAUAAACCCGUUCUUGUCCUCACCAUGUGAACAAGGUGUUAUUUAGACGGCUCCUUAAGACACUUCAGGAUAAACUUCUUAGAGCAGUUUCUGCUUUUGAUUCUGUUGCUGACAAGGCAGCGCACUGCUGUUACAAGCUCUGUCAACCAGGAUAUGGAAAGGCAGGGAGUAGAAUAAGGUCUAGAAACACUGACUAUACAUGUUGACAAGGCUCAAGUGAGUAUUGCACUGGCCCGCCUGUAGCUGACAAGACACUGGAUGCUUGGUGACAAGCUGCUUGCUAUUCCACACUCAUGUUAGCAUGGCAAGGGUCACAUUGACAUCUGCAGUCUGGGGAAACUUGAGCCUAUCUUUCCAGCAAACACUGUGAGCGUGUGCAUGGGCUUGCCCAUUGAUAGGGAUUAGCAAAGAUGAGUGAGCCAGGCUCCAUGGGAUGGCCCUGGCUGCUACUGGAGGUCAGUGCAUGUGCACUCCAAAGUGAGUGUUUGUGUGUGGGUAUUUGUCAGGCAGUGGGGGGUUAGGCCUGGAUUGCAAUGACAAUAGAAAGGAAUUUAAAUGAGAGAAAAACGAGGAUCAGGGAUGUUUGCAAGGAGGAUGGAGGAGGCUUUGGCGCCAUUGUUAUUCCUCCUCUUUGUCAUUCUGCCUCUCUAUCUCUCUAUUACAUUCUUUUGCAGUCUCUCUCAACCAUCGCUGCAAUAUUUUUCACAGAAAUCAAUCUCUCUUAUGGCUUUAUCUUUUAUCUCCUGCGUCCUCUUUUGAAUUUCUUUUUCUUUUUUCUUAUCUUGCUCUCCAGAAUUGUGAGUGACUAAGCCAUGUCAAGUUCAGUGUUGUUGAUAAGCUUUUUGUAACCAAUCCCUGUCCUCAAAGUUCAAACCUCUGACUACUCCACAAAUAGAGUGAGACUAAGACCAGUUAACUAAGUGCUGUUUUUUUCUGACAUUGAAAUUCCAGAGAUGGAGAAAAAAAGAAGUGUUUCAGAUAAAACAGUGUUAAUUGUAUAUAAAGAAAAAGUUAAAGUAAUUUGGGAAAUAUUUGAUUUCUUAAUCCUUUUCAGGUCAAUGUUGAAAUAAAAACAUACAAGCUUUUAUUGUCAAUCAAUGGAAAACACUGAUGUAUGUCUAUGUCACCUUACUUUUCAUAACAAUGUAGUUGGUCGGUGAGAUAACUGGUGGGGUUUCAGCUUUUAACAGAUACUUUAUUUGUCACCAGACGAUGAAUUAAACAAUCUCAUAAAUUGCAUUUCUAACCCAGCUAGCAUGCUAGUUAAGAAGCUGCAUGCAAUUAUUAUAGCCUGGAUUAAAAAUUAAAGUAACUAACAAAAGAAUCAAAUAAAGAAUUUUCCAAGUUCUUGCCACAUCAUAUUUGCAGCCAGUUUCCUGUAUUUAAAUGCAAAUAAUCAUCAAACUGAAAAGUGAAAUAAUGAAUGUAAUAAUGGAGCAUUUGAAAAGUAACCAGGACACAGAAUAAACAGACUGCAGGUUAUUGAACUGUCCUUUAGAAAUCCAUUAAGUUCUUCUUCUUCUUCUUCUCCUUUGUAGAAAAAAAUAUUUUCUAGUUCUCCUCUACCUUUCUUCUCCCUCUCCUUGCACCCUUGAAUGCUACUCUCCCUGUAGGAACUUCAAGG